UAAGGUCAGGAGUUCGAGACCAGCCUGGCCAAUGUGGUGAAACCCCGUCUCUACUAAAAAUAUAAAAAUUGGCUGGGCGUGGUGGCGGGCGCCUGUAAUCCCAGCUACUUGGGAAGCUGAGGCAGGAGAGUCAUUUGAACCCAGGAGGCGGAAGUUGCAGUGAGCCAAGAUCGCACCACUGCACUCCAGCCUGGGCGACAGAGCAAGACUCCGUCUCACCGAAAAAAGAAAAAAAAGAGAGAGAGAGAGAUGGGGUCUUCCUGUGUAAGGCUGGUUUUGAAUUCCUGGCUCCUAGGGAUCCUCUUGCCUCAGCCUCCCAAAGUGCUGGGAUUAUAGGUGUGAGCCACUGUGCCCAGCCCCCAUGUUUUACUUUUAUCAGGUGACAUAAUUAAAAAAAAACCAAAAGCUAGUCUCACAGCAUCUGAGAGUCUGGGAGUCAGAUGCAUGUUAAAGUCAGAGGAAUGAGGUCCAGUGCUGGCUUGGCUUGCUUUGCCUUAUCUUUGGUUAUUGUCUUAGCAACAUAAAAUUAUUCAAGGUCUUGAAGCCACCUUGGGCUUACCUUCAAGUGUCCUUUUAGUGGGACAGAAGUAUCUGUGAUAGGCUCUGUUCACAGUCUUGACUGUUAUAAGAAGCACUCUUGUGCGUAGCCACCUCCCCUCUGCUAGAGGCCCUGGCUGAAUCCAAGAGGAACAGCAAAGGCUGUGCCUCCAACCAACUGUGGAAAUUCAGCCAUGUGGUUGAGUUACUUUUUUUUCUCUGAAACUUAUAGCAGUCAAUAAAUUUUCAAACUCGAAGAGCCCCCAAUUCCCAGACUUAUUUGAAUCCCCAAAGACACUUCUGGAGACAUUCUCUUCACAGAAAAUAAGUCUGGCAAAAGGGAAUGCGAUGAUAGAUCCACAAUACUCUUUUUCUUUUCCUUUUCCUUUCCUUUCUUUCUUUCUUUUCUUUUCUUUUUUUUGUGUGUGUGUGUGUGUAACAGGGUCUUUGUCAGCCAAGCUGGAGUGCAGUGGCACAACCAUCGCUCACUGCAGCCUCAACCUCUCAGGCUCAAGCAAUCCUUCUGCUUCAGCCUCCUUGCAUGCCACCAUGCCCGGUUAUUUUAUGUUUUGAAGAGAUGGGGUAUUGCUAUGUUGACAGGGCUGGUCUUGAACUCCUGGGCUCAAGUGAUCCUCCCAUCUUGGCCUCCUGAAGUGCUGGGAUUACAGGUAUGAGCCAUCAGCCUGGUGCCACACUACUCUUAACUGAAAUUAUUCUAUGUCCAGCCAGUGAACAGGAUAGCAUUUUUACUUCUUUGUUCUUUUUAUUUUUUGUGUAUGCCCAAAAGGUAACAUUUAUUGUCUUUAAAAAGGCAAAUCUUACAUAAAUAAAUAACAACAACAACAACAACAAAAUUCCCAUUUAAUUCUACCUCCUAAGAUACAACCACCAUUAACGAUUUAUAUUUUUUCACUCUUUGGAGCCAGUCUGCUAGGGACCAAAUUCUAGCUCUGCCAACAGCUAGCAACCUUGGACAAGAACUUAACCUCUUUGUACAUGCUUCUUUACCUGUAAAAUGGGGGUAAUGAUAGUACCGAUUACAUGCGGCUGUUUUGAGAAUUAAGUUAAUAUAUGUUAAGCACUUGAAACAGCACCUGGCAAUAGUUAAGUGUUCAAUAAAUGUUGGCCUUUUUCUAAGUGUGAAUGAGCAUUUUUUUUUUCAUUAAAAAAUUUUUUUGGCCAGGCAUGGUGGCUAAUGCCUGCAAUCCUAGCACUUUGGGAGGCCGAGGCAG
rnacentral:lncRNA from 10 species